rnacentral:rRNA from 1 species
UACGGAGAGGCCCAAACGUUAUUCGGAUUUACUGGGCUUAAAGAGUUCGUAGGCGGUGCAGAAAGUGGGGUGUGAAAGCCCUCGGCUCAACCGAGGAAUUGCGCUCCAAACUACUGUACUAGAGGAAGCUAGAGGUGAGCAGAACAGAUGGUGGAGCGGUGAAAUGCGUUGAUAUCAUCUGGAAUACCGGAGGCGAAGGCGGCUCACUGGGGCUUUUCUGACGCUGAGGAACGAAAGCCAGGGUA